rnacentral:rRNA from 1 species
GAGUUUGAUCAUGGCUCAGAACGUACGCUGGCGGCACGCCUGACACAUGCAAGUCGAACGAAGUAGCAAUACUAGUGGCAGACGGGUGAGUAACAUGUAGGUAUCUACCCUUUGGCCUGGAGUAACACGAGGAAACUUGUGCUAAUACCGGAUAAGUCUUUACGGAGAAAGCUUUAUGCACCAUUGGAUGAGCCUGCACUUGAUUAGUUUGUUGGUGGGGUAAUGGCCUACCAAGACUGUGAUCAAUAGCUGAUUUGAGAGGAUGAUCAGCCACAUUGGGACUGAGACACGGCCCAAACUCCUACGGGAGGCAGCAGUGGGGAAUCUUGCACAAUGGAGGAAACUCUGAUGCAGCGAUGCCGCGUGAGUGAAGAAGGCCCUUGGGUUGUAAAGCUCUUUCGUCGGGGAAGAAAAUGACUGUACCCGAAUAAGAAGGUCCGGCUAACUUCGUGCCAGCAGCCGCGGUAAUACGAAGGGACCUAGCGUAGUUCGGAAUUACUGGGCUUAAAGAGUUCGUAGGUGGUUGAAAAAGUUGGUGGUGAAAUCCCAGAGCUUAACUCUGGAACUGCCAUCAAAACUUUUCAGCUAGAGUUUGAUAGAGGAAAGCAGAAUUUCUAGUGUAGAGGUGAAAUUCGUAGAUAUUAGAAAGAAUACCAAUUGCGAAGGCAGCUUUCUGGAUCAUUACUGACACUGAGGAACGAAAGCAUGGAUAGCGAAGAGGACUAGAUACCCUCGUAGUCCAUGCCGUAAACGAUGUGUGUUAGACGUUGGAAAUUUAUUUUCAGUGUCGCAGCGAAAGCGAUAAACACACCGCCUGGGGAGUACGACCGCAAGGUUAAAACUCAAAUGAAUUGACGGGGACCCGCACAAGUAGUGGAGCAUGUGGUUUAAUUCGAAGAUACGCGCAGAACCUUACCAACACUUGGCAUGUUCGUCGCGACUUUAAGAGAUUAAAGUUUUCGGUUCGGCCGGACGAAACACAGGUGCUGCAUGGCUGUCGUCAGCUCGUAUCGUGAGAUGUUGGGUUAAGUCCCGCAACGAGCGCAACCCUCACUUUUGGUUGCCAUCAUUAAGUUGGGCACUCUGAAAGAACUGCCAGUGAUAAGCUGGAGGAAGGUGGGGAUGACGUCAAGUCCUCAUGGCCCUUACGUGUUGGGCUACACACGUGCUAUAAUGGUAUUUACAACAGGAAGCAAGACGGCGACGUUAAGCAAAUCCUUAAAAAAUACCUCAGUUCGGAUUGCACUCUGCAACUCGAGUGCAUGAAGCUGGAAUUACUAGUAAUCGUGGAUCAGCGUGCCACGGUGAAUGCGUUCCCGGGUCUUGUACACACCGCCCGUCACACCAUGGGAGUUGGUUCUACCUUAAGGCAAGGUUUUAAACCCUUGACCACGGUAUAGUCAGCGACUGGGGUGAAGUCGUAACAAGGUAACC